UACGUAGGGUGCAAGCGUUGUCCGGAAUUAUUGGGCGUAAAGAGCUCGUAGGCGGUUUGUCGCGUCUGCUGUGAAAACUCGGGGCUUAACCCCGGGCCUGCAGUGGGUACGGGCGGGCUAGAGUUCGGUAGGGGAGACUGGAAUUCCUGGUGUAGCGGUGAAAUGCGCAGAUAUCAGGAGGAACACCGGUGGCGAAGGCGGGUCUCUGGGCCGAUACUGACGCUGAGGAGCGAAAGCGUGGGGAGCGAACAGG
rnacentral:rRNA from 1 species